rnacentral:piRNA from 1 species
GNGCUGUAGUGUCUCAAGGAAGAUGGCC